GGAAGGAUCAUUACUGAGUUGUCGACAUGAGCUGUUGCUGGCCCUCAGACAUGGGGGCAUGUGCACGCUCUGUUCAUACAUCCACUCACACCUGUGCACCCACCGUAGUUCUAUGGUCUGGGGGACAUCUGUCUCCCUCCCUGUAGAUCCACGUCUUUACACGUACACCGUAGCAAAGUCUUAUGGAAUGUGUGCCGCGUUUAACGCAAUACAAUACAACUUUCAGCAACGGAUCUCUUGGCUCUCGCAUCGAUGAAGAACGCAGCGAAAUGCGAUAAGUAAUGUGAAUUGCAGAAUUCAGUGAAUCAUCGAAUCUUUGAACGCACCUUGCGCCCCUUGGCUAUUCCGAGGGGCAUGCCUGUUUGAGUAUCACGAACACCUCAACUCUUGCGGUUUGCCGUGAUGAGCUUGGACUUUUGGGGGUUUUGCUGGCCACGGUCGGCUCCUCUGAAAUGGAUCAGCUUGCCAGUGUUUGGUGGCGUCAUGGGUGUGAUAACUAUCUACGCUUGUGAUAGCUCGCCAAGUAACCUUCAGAGAUGGAGGUUUGCUGGAGCUUAUAAAUGUCUCUCCUCUCAGUGAAGACAGCUUUUUGACCGUUUGAUCUCAAAUCAGGUAGGAUUACCCGCUGAACUUAAGCAUAUCAAUAAGCGGAGGAAAAGAAACUAACAAGGAUUCCCCUAGUAACUGCGAGUGAAGCGGGAAGAGCUCAAAUUUAAAAUCUGGCGUGCCUCUGGUCGUCCGAGUUGUAGUCUGGAGAAGUGUUUUCCGUGUUGGACCGUGUAUAAGUCUCUUGGAACAGGGCGUCAUAGAGGGUGAGAAUCCCGUCUUUGACACGGACUACCAAUGCUUUGUGAUGCGCUCUCAAAGAGUCGAGUUGUUUGGGAAUGCAGCUCAAAUGGGUGGUAAAUUCCAUCUAAAGCUUAAUAUAGGCGAGAGACCGAUAGCGA
rnacentral:sRNA from 1 species